rnacentral:lncRNA from 1 species
CUUACAUCUAGGACAAUGUGGCCUUGAUCAGCUGGCCUCUAGGUGCUACUGCAAUAUAAACGUUUAAUGUAAUAACUUAAAAUAGUAGGGCUUUAACCACACUGUAUUAUUUGUCAUACUAAGGGAGACCUGCACAGCUAGCUUUAUUUAUGGCAGGAGGGACUCAAACAUGACAGAAAGGCACUGAUCUGAGCAGAGAAGAAGACAGCAUACUCUGGCAGAGAACUUUCUUUCUUUAAGCGAAGGAUUGCAUACUUCCGUUUGCUAAGAAAUAUGAGGGAGCCAAGUGUAAUCACCACCAGAGGAAAUGAGACAAUUUGGCAGCAGCGUCAGCAGGGGAGCCAACUGGGAUGUGUGUAAAGUGUGCUGUUUACUCACUUCCCAAAUCUGAACAUGAACAAAGUUUAACUUUCUGCUGAAAAAGUCCCUAAGUAUAAUUCAAUCUUUCCACUGAAUCUUUUGG